UACGGAGGGUGCGAGCGUUUUCCGGAAUCACUGGGCGUAAAGGGCUCGUAGGCGGCCAACUAAGUCGGACGUGAAAUCCCCAGGCUCAACCUGGGAACUGCGUCCGAUACUGGAUGGCUUGAAUUCGGGAGAGGGAUGCAGAAUUCCAGGUGUAGCGGUGAAAUGCGUAGAUAUCUGGAGGAAUACCGGUGGCGAAGGCGGCAUCCUGGACCGACAUUGACGCUGAUGAGCGAAAGCUAGGGGAGCAAACGGG
rnacentral:rRNA from 1 species